AGUGCUUUUUUGGUGUUGCUGACGAGACGCUGAUCAUGUGACGAUCAAAUCAAAUGCCCACUUGUGCUGCCACUGGACAGCGAAAACACAAGUUGGGAACCAGCAUGCAGCCAGAAAGGUAAAGAACCAUUCGUCCGCCAGCUCUGGGACAAGCUACACUAUUCACAGCCCUGUGUAAUGUUCAAUAAGGUGUCUGACUUUAUUGUAAGUGCAGCGUCAUAUGAUAUAGAGUCUUUAUGGAUGUGUUAUGAAUGACCAAAGGUGUCUGACGU